AAUAGUGCGAAUUAGUCGCGUGCUGUAGACCCGAAGCCAAGUGAUCUAUCCAUGGCCAGGUUGAAGCGGGGGUAAGACCUCGUGGAGGACCGAACCCACCUAGGUUAAAAACUGGGGGGAUGAGCUGUGGAUAGGGGUGAAAGGCCAAUCAAACUUGGUGAUAGCUGGUUCUCCCCGAAAUGCAUUUAGGUGCAGCGUCGUGUGUUCAGUCAUGGGGGUAGAGCACUGAAUGGGUUAGGGGGCCUACAAGCUUACCGACCCCAAUCAAACUCCGAAUACCAUGACUCCAGAGCACGGCAGUGAGACCGCGGGGGAUGAGCUUCGCGGUCGAGAGGGAAACAGCCCAGAUCGCCGGCUAAGGCCCCUAAUUCUGGACUAAGUGGAAAACGAUGUGAGAUUGCCCAGACAGCCAGGAGGUUGGCUUAGAAGCAGCCACCCUUGAAAGAGUGCGUAACAGCUCACUGGUCGAGUGGUCCUGCGCGGACAAUUUAACGGGGCUCAAGUCCUGAGCCGAAGCUAUGGAUUCGUACGCAAGUACGAGUGGUAGAGGAGCGUCGAUGGCGCAGCGAAGCGACGGGAUAACCCGGCGUGGAGCGCCAUCGAGUGAGAAUGCAGGCAUGAGUAGCGAGAGAGGGGUGAGAAACCCCUCCGCCGAAAGCCCAAGGGUUCCUGGGGAAGGCUAAUCCUCCCAGGGUGAGUCGGGAGCUAAGGCGAGGCCGCAAGGCGUAGUCGAUGCACAACUGGUUGAUAUUCCAGUACUGCCGUGCCCGCGCCAGGUCCAAGAGCGACAACGUCGGGGCUGCCUUCGGGCGAGCCGGCCGCGUUGCUGGCGGAUAGCUGGAGGGGGACGCAGGAAGGUAGGUGAACCGGGGCGAUGGUUGUCCCCGGGUAAGCGUGUAGGAGGAUCCCGAUGAGAGUUGGGGUCAUUAACUCUGAGACGUGAUGCCGAGCCGAUUAAGGCGAAGUCACUGAUCCUAUGCUGCCAAGAAAAGCCCAACAGUGAGUUGGCACGGCACCCGUACCCCAAACCGACACAGGUGGGCGGGUAGAGAAUACCAAGGCGAUCGGGAGAACUAUGGUUAAGGAACUCGGCAAAUUAACCCCGUAACUUCGGGAGAAGGAUGACCCUAUUAGGGUGAAGGGAUUUACUCCCCGAGCUCGAGAGGGUGGCACAAACCAGGGGGUAGCGACUGUUUACCAAAAACACAGCAGCGUGCGAAGCCGCAAGGCGCUGUAUACGCUGUGACGCCUGCCCAAUGCUGGAAGGUCACGGGGAAUGGUUAGUCGCAAGGCGAAGCUAUGAACCUAAGCCCCAGUGAAUGGCGGCCGUAACUAUAACGGUCCUAAGGUAGCGAAAUUCCUUGUCGGGUAAGUUCCGACCUGCACGAAUGGCGUAAC
rnacentral:rRNA from 1 species